GAUGAACGCUGGCGGCGUGCCUAAACCAUGCAAGUCGACCGACAGACCAGUAAGUUUCUCCUUUCACGGUUGGCGCGGGCCGGUUGGGUAAACCGUAGUUACCUACCUAUUAGUCCGUGGUGACCUCGGGGAAACCGUUCCAAUACCCGCUAAUAAUUCCUACCGGCUAGAUCCAUUGUUAAAAAGAGCUUUUCCUUUACCUUGAGAAGGAGCUGGGUCGGAUUAGCUAGUUGGUAAGGUAACGGCCUACCAAGGCAACGAUACGUAGCCGACCUGAGAGGGUGAUCGGCCACACUGGAACUGAGACACGGUCCAGACUCCUACGGGAGGCAGCAGUAGGGAAUAUUGCGCAAUGGGCGCAAGCCUGACGGAGCAACGCCGCGUGAGUGAUGAAGGUCUUCGGAUCGUAAAACUCUGUUAUUAGGGAAGAACAAAAGCGUAAGUAACUGUGCACGUCUUGACGGUACCUAAUCAGAAAGCAACGGCUAACUACGUG
rnacentral:rRNA from 1 species